AUUGAACGCUGGCGGCAGGCCUAACACAUGCAAGUCGAACGGUAACAGGAAGAAGCUUGCUUCUUUGCUGACGAGUGGCGGACGGGUGAGUAAUGUCAGGGAAACUGCCUGAUGGAGGGGGAUAACUACUGGAAACGGUAGCUAAUACCGCAUAACGUCGCAAGACCAAGGAGGGGGACCUUCGGGCCUCUUGCCAUCGGAUGUGCCCAGAUGGGAUUAGCUAGUAGGUGGGGUAACGGCUCACCUAGGCGACGAUCCCUAGCUGGUCUGAGAGGAUGACCAGCCACACUGGAACUGAGACACGGUCCAGACUCCUACGGGAGGCAGCAGUGGGGAAUAUUGCACAAUGGGCGCAAGCCUGAUGCAGCCAUGCCGCGUGUAUGAAGAAGGCCUUCGGGUUGUAAAGUACUUUCAGCGGGGAGGAAGGGAGUAAAGUUAAUACCUUUGCUCAUUGACGUUACCCGCAGAAGAAGCACCGGCUAACUCCGUG
rnacentral:rRNA from 1 species